UUGCAUAGUAACAAAAGUGAUCAU
rnacentral:miRNA from 1 species